rnacentral:rRNA from 1 species
GAUGAACGCAGGCGGUGUGCCUAAUACAUGCAAGUCGAGCGCACUGGCCCAAAUGAUAUGACGUUCUUGCACUGAUUUGACGAUGGAUCACCAGUGAGCGGCGGACGGGUGAGUAACACGUGGGCAACCUGCCCUGGAGCGGGGGAUAACAUCUGGAAACAGGUGCUAAUACCGCAUGACUACUAAAACCACCUGGUUUUAGUAUAAAAGAAGGCUUCGGCUUUCACUCUAGGAUGGGCCCGCGGUGCAUUAGCUAGUUGGUAAGGUAACGGCUUACCAAGGCGAUGAUGCAUAGCCGAGUUGAGAGACUGAUCGGCCACAAUGGAACUGAGACACGGUCCAUACUCCUACGGGAGGCAGCAGUAGGGAAUCUUCCACAAUGGGCGCAAGCCUGAUGGAGCAACACCGCGUGAGUGAAGAAGGGUUUCGGCUCGUAAAGCUCUGUUGUUGAAGAAGAACGUGCGUGAGAGUAACUGUUCACGCAGUGACGGUAUUCAACCAGAAAGUCACGGCUAACUACGUGCCAGCAGCCGCGGUAAUACGUAGGUGGCAAGCGUUAUCCGGAUUUAUUGGGCGUAAAGCGAGCGCAGGCGGUUGCUUAGGUCUGAUGUGAAAGCCUUCGGCUUAACCGAAGAAGUGCAUCGGAAACCGGGCGACUUGAGUGCAGAAGAGGACAGUGGAACUCCAUGUGUAGCGGUGGAAUGCGUAGAUAUAUGGAAGAACACCAGUGGCGAAGGCGGCUGUCUGGUCUGCAACUGACGCUGAGGCUCGAAAGCAUGGGUAGCGAACAGG